rnacentral:lncRNA from 1 species
CUAUUGUUCAUUCAGGAACAUGAUACAAAUUCUUUUCACAUAGAGCAUCAUCUAUUGAGGAUGUUAACGAAAUUAAUGCCAGGAUCUUCAAUUGUACGAACCGGGCUCAGUUUCAACCAACAAAUCAAACAUCAACCACUUGAUUUCUAACCCCGAAUCCAAACCUCACUCAUGGUUGCCCAAUUACAUUGCUCACAAAGGAUUAUAUGGUGACUGCAAUAUUACAAAGGGAGAGAAGAAGAAGGAAGACACAAAACAAAGCUUUCAAUUGCACAAGAUACUCUCAUGUGCCGCUUCUGAUACCAUUUGUCUCGGAAGUACUUCGAUUCAUGCAAAAAAUCCAGCUCAGUUUUUCAAUACAAGAAUUAAACAUCAACCAAAGAUUGCACAAACCCAAAAAUCUAUUCACUUCAGUUGCCUACUUUCUUGCAACCACAAAGGACACAAAUCUGGUGGUUAAUUGCAGCCACAAAGGAGGAGAAUUAUUUACGAAGUAAUUGGUUUAAACUUAAGCACAAAGAAGAAAAAUCACCAAAGAUGGCUGCCUCUUUUUCUUGCAAAUAACACACUCAUUCUCCCUAUAAACAAAAAGAGGCUUAUUUAUAGAACUAGGGAUAAGAAACACAAUGGGCCAACAAUAGGUAAAUGGGCCAAAGCAUAACAAAUAGGCUAAACACAAAUUGGACCAAGUAACAUAACAUGAGAUGGGUCGACAAAUCAAAGGGA